CUCCCCCCAUCUUGCGCACCACAUUCGCCGCCAAGCUGCUUGAAAUCAUCCGAGGGCCCCCGCCUCUGGAAGCAACUCCGGCGAGUGCAGACACGCCGGGAGCACAAACUCAUCGUCACCCGAGCAUCACCACCACCGCGUCGACUGUGGCCAGGCAUGACACGCUUGAGCCAUCAAAUUUUGUCUGACACAUCCGCCGUGCUGUGCCGUGUCGACUUGACCCAUCCGUUCAUCCCAAUGCCGUCGACGAAACCCAAGAGCAUCCGUUCACAGGAGCAACUCCGGCGAGUGACCCCCUUCCGUCGAGCCCAGCCACCGCCAUCGACACCUACGUUGUCCGCCGUAGUUUUAUGUAAAACUUGUUGUGCUGUGAAGAGCUCUGCUGCUGGCAUUGCUUGGUCGUGCUUUUCUUUUCCAUUUAACUUUUCUCGAAUUUAUGUACAGUAUGACUUUGCGGCGGUUUCUUCUGUGGAAAUCGACGAGGAGGCUCGUUGUUCCAAAAAAUGAAUGAAAAGUGAACAAUAUCUACGAAUA